UACAGAGGUGCCAAGCGUUAGGCGGAAUCACUGGGCUUAAAGCGCGUGUAGGCGGGUCGUUAAGUGUCCGAGUGAAAUCCCACGGCUCAACCGUGGAACUGCCGGGCAUACUGGCGAUCUUGAGGCAUUCAGGGGCGAGCGGAGCAAAUGGUGGAGCGGUGAAAUGCGUAGAUAUCAUUUGGAACGCCAAUGGUGAGAACAGCUCGCUGGGAAUGAUCUGACGCUGAGACGCGAAAGCCAGGGGAGCGAACGGG
rnacentral:rRNA from 1 species